CUACGGGUCGCACCAGUGAGGAAUAUUGCACAAUGGGGGGAACCCUGAUGCAGCAACGCCGCGUGGAGGAUGACGCAUUUCGGUGUGCAAACUCCUUUUAUAUGUCAAGAAAAUGACGGUAGCAUAUGAAUAAGCACCGGCUAACUCCGUGCCAGCAGCCGCGGUAAUACGGAGGGUGCAAGCGUUACUCGGAAUCACUGGGCGUAAAGGACGCGUAGGCGGGUUGGAAAGUCAGGUGUGAAAUCCUACAGCUUAACUGUAGAACUGCACUUGAAACUUCUAAUCUAGAGUAUGGGAGGGGGAGAUGGAAUUAGUGGUGUAGGGGUAAAAUCCGUAGAUAUCACUAGGAACACCUAAAGCGAAGGCGAUCUCCUGGAACAUUACUGACGCUAAGGCGUGAAAGCGUGGGGAGCAAACAGGAUUAGAUACCCCAGUAGUC
rnacentral:rRNA from 1 species